rnacentral:rRNA from 1 species
GAUGAACGCUGGCGGCGUGCCUAAUACAUGCAAGUCGAGCGAACAGACGAGAAGCUUGCUUCUCUGAUGUUAGCGGCGGACGGGUGAGUAACACGUGGAUAACCUACCUAUAAGACUGGGAUAACUUCGGGAAACCGGAGCUAAUACCGGAUAAUAUUUUGAACCGCAUGGUUCAAAAGUGAAAGACGGUCUUGCUGUCACUUAUAGAUGGAUCCGCGCUGCAUUAGAUAGUUGGUAAGGUAACGGCUUACCAAGGCAACGAUGCAUAGCCGACCUGAGAGGGUGAUCGGCCACACUGGAACUGAGACACGGUCCAGACUCCUACGGGAGGCAGCAGUAGGGAAUCUUCCGCAAUGGGCGAAAGCCUGACGGAGCAACGCCGCGUGAGUGAUGAAGGUCUUCGGAUCGUAAAACUCUGUUAUUAGGGAAGAACAUAUGUGUAAGUAACUGUGCACAUCUUGACGGUACCUAAUCAGAAAGCCACGGCUAACUACGUG